UUUGAAAAAUUAGAGUGUUCAAAGCAAGGCUAUAAUUGGCAUCAUGAAUACAUUAGCAUGGGAUAAUAGAAUAUGACAUUUGGUCUUAUUUGUUGGUUUCUAAGGCCAAGUAAUGAUUGAUAGGGAUAGUUGGGGCCGCUCGUAUUGAGUUGUCAGAGGUGAAAUUCUAGGAUUUACUCAAGACGAACUAAUGCGAAAGCAUUCGGCAAGGAUGUUUUCAUUAAUCAAGAACGAAAGUUGGGGGAUCGAAGAUGAUCAGAUACCGUCGUAGUCUCAACCAUAAACUAUGUCAACCGAGGAUCCGGUAGCGUUACAUGGAUGACCUUCCGGGCACUCUGUGAGAAAUCAUAAGUAUUUGGAUUUCGGGGGGAGUAUGGUCGCAAGGCUGAAACUUAAAGGGAUUGACGGAAGGGCACCACCAGGAGUGGAAUCUGCG
rnacentral:rRNA from 1 species